GCCUUACUGCUCUUAUAAUAUCACCAUAGCCGAUUAUAAACAAAAGAAGAAGAAAAGAGAAGAAACUAGGUUUGGCCAUCUCCCAAGUUCAAAUUUAAGAUCAAGAACUAAAGAAAUCGGGUUUAGAUCGAGGAAACCGAAAGUUAUCGAUUAGUCCCGUUCCAUUUUUCAUCGAUCGAGAUUUUGAAUUCAAUCUACGAGUUCGGGGAUCGUCAGAAAAGCUAAUCACACUAUCGACCGCUUUCGGUAUUUUAUAAGUUUGGAACUAUGGCAUGUAUAAGCUAAAAUAUGUUAUGUUUGAUUUUGGAUUUGUAAAUCAUAUAGCCAUGCGAAAAUGGCUUGAACAAAUCGUUGUGUUCGGUUUUAAGGUUUGAAUAUGAUGUGAACAUGUUUAGUUGUGGUCUUAGAUGAAUUAAA